rnacentral:lncRNA from 1 species
CACUGGGGAAAAGAUUAUAUCCAAAACUUUUGGAUUGCUCGACAUUAGAUGUUAACUCUGAGCUAAUACUAAUUUCCAGGGACCCAGAAUGAACUUAUCAAUGGAUAUCAGGGGAUGACGUGGCCUUUGCCAUUGCUGAGAACCCAUUUUGCACGCAAUGGUUUCCCGGAUAAUAAAUGACACAGCUGGGAUUUAUUCAGGUGUUCUGACUCCAAAGUCCUUGCUCCUGAUCACCAUGCGCUACCGACUUUGAGCAGUGAUGUCUCACAGAUGGGAAUGAUUCCUCUGAAGGUUGAAUAGAGAAUGCCACCAUGUGAAGUGAUAUUUGAGCUGGAACCUGAGUGAAUGAUGGAAUGGAGAAGUCAGGUACAGAGCUGUGGGGAUAGCAUCACAGGUUAGAAGCACUGUUGAUUUCACCACAGAUAAAUAUUUUGUUUGCUAUUCUUGAAUAUGUAUACUCAAGGGGAGUUAUUGACCAGUUUGAAUGACAACGAAGCCUUUACAAAGAAAAGAUUUAGCUAGUGGGCAGAACUGACCUGGACCUGGCCUGUAACAGUUACUUCAAGAAGCAGGAAAAAAACCUAAAUGUUUCUACUGUUUACUACCCAGGACUGAACAGAAGUAGCUGUGCAACCACCACUAGAAGCCUUCUGAGCGUGUUACUGAAGAGGAUGAGGCAGGAGGCUUCCAGAGGCAACAGCCAAGACUAAGCCAUCAACCACAGGGCCAAACCCAGUAAAAAAGAAAAAUAAGAACACUUCCACUUAAAGAACUGCUGCAAUUAUACUGUUCCUUUUUUUUUUCCAUUAACAUGUCUUUCCUUUUAUGAUGGCGAGAGUUAAUAUUAAGGUGUGCAUAUAUGUUUGUUAAACGAUCUCAUUUUGCAAUUAAAAGUUUGCACUUAUAUUAAUAC